CUUGGUUCAUUUAGAGAAAGUAAAAGUCGGAGCAAGGUUCCCGUAGGUGAACCU
rnacentral:rRNA from 1 species